CCUACGGGCGGCAGCAGUGAGGAAUAUUGGUCAAUGGCCGAGAGGCUGAACCAGCCAAGUCGCGUGAGGGAUGACGGCCCUACGGGUUGUAAACCUCUUUUAUCGGGGAGCAAAGCGAGUCACGUGUGACUCAUUGCGUGUACCCGAUGAAUAAGCAUCGGCUAACUCCGUGCCAGCAGCCGCGGUAAUACGGAGGAUGCGAGCGUUAUCCGGAUUUAUUGGGUUUAAAGGGUGCGCAGGCGGAGGUGCAAGUCAGCGGUCAAAUUUCGGGGCUCAACCUCGUACUGCAGUUGAAACUGGAAUCCUUGAGUGCGCGAGAAGUAUGCGGAAUGCGUGGUGUAGCGGUGAAAUGCAUAGAUAUCACGCAGAACUCCGAUUGCGAAGGCAGCAUACCGGCGCGCAACUGACGCUCAUGCACGAAAGUGUGGGUAUCGAACAGGAUUAGAUACCCUAGUAGUC
rnacentral:rRNA from 1 species